rnacentral:lncRNA from 1 species
GUUCUCUUGUGGUGUAGGUUGCAAGUCGCUUGUGGUGUAGGUUGUAGGUCAUUGUAGGCUUUAGAUCAUUGACUUGUUUGGAUUUGAACAACAAUGACAAGAGGCACGAUUAUUUCCAUAUUCAAGAUUAAGAUUUUCUAUAUUUGGUCCUUGGCCGGCCAAUUGAUGGCUUUUGAACCUUGGAAGCCAAACUUUAAAACCAAGCUG